rnacentral:rRNA from 1 species
AUUGAACGCUGGCGGCAUGCUUAACACAUGCAGGUCGAACGGUAACAGGUGUAGCAAUACAUGCUGACGAGUGGCGGACGGGUGAGGAAUGCUUGGGAAUCUGCCUGUUAGUGGGGGACAACCCGGGGAAACUCGGGCUAAUACCGCAUACGCUCUACGGAGGAAAGCGGGGGACCGUAAGGCCUCGCGCUAACAGAUGAGCCCAAGUCGGAUUAGCUAGUUGGUGGGGUAAAAGCCUACCAAGGCGACGAUCCGUAGCUGGUCUGAGAGGACGAUCAGCCACACUGGGACUGAGACACGGCCCAGACUCCUACGGGAGGCAGCAGUGGGGAAUAUUGGACAAUGGGGGCAACCCUGAUCCAGCAAUGCCGCGUGUGUGAAGAAGGCCUGCGGGUUGUAAAGCACUUUUGGCAGGGAUGAAAAGCACUGGAUUAAUAACCCAGUGUGUUGACCUAACCUGCAGAAGAAGCACCGGCUAACUCUGUG